GAGGCAUGCUGGAGGUAUCAGAAGUGCGAAUGCUGACAUAAGUAACGAUAAAGCGGGUGAAAAGCCCGCUCGCCGGAAGACCAAGGGUUCCUGUCCAACGUUAAUCGGGGCAGGGUGAGUCGACCCCUAAGGCGAGGCCGAAAGGCGUAGUCGAUGGGAAACAGGUUAAUAUUCCUGUACUUGGUGUUACUGCGAAGGGGGGACGGAGAAGGCUAUGUUGGCCGGGCGACGGUUGUCCCGGUUUAAGCGUGUAGGCUGGUUUUCCAGGCAAAUCCGGAAAAUCAAGGCUGAGGCGUGAUGACGAGGCACUACGGUGCUGAAGCAACAAAUGCCCUGCUUCCAGGAAAAGCCUCUAAGCAUCAGGUAACAUCAAAUCGUACCCCAAACCGACACAGGUGGUCAGGUAGAGAAUACCAAGGCGCUUGAGAGAACUCGGGUGAAGGAACUAGGCAAAAUGGUGCCGUAACUUCGGGAGAAGGCACGCUGAUAUGUAGGUGAAGUCCCUCGCGGAUGGAGCUGAAAUCAGUCGAAGAUACCAGCUGGCUGCAACUGUUUAUUAAAAACACAGCACUGUGCAAACACGAAAGUGGACGUAUACGGUGUGACGCCUGCCCGGUGCCGGAAGGUUAAUUGAUGGGGUCAGCGCAAGCGAAGCUCUUGAUCGAAGCCCCGGUAAACGGCGGCCGUAACUAUAACGGUCCUAAGGUAGCGAAAUUCCUUGUCGGGUAAGUUCCGACCUGCACGAAUGGCGUAAUGAUGGCCAGGCUGUCUCCACCCGAGACUCAGUGAAAUUGAACUCGCUGUGAAGAUGCAGUGUACCCGCGGCAAGACGGAAAGACCCCGUGAACCUUUACUAUAGCUUGACACUGAACAUUGAGCCUUGAUGUGUAGGAUAGGUGGGAGGCUUUGAAGUGUGGACGCCAGUCUGCAUGGAGCCGACCUUGAAAUACCACCCUUUAAUGUUUGAUGUUCUAACGUGGACCCGUGAUCCGGGUUGCGGACAGUGUCUGGUGGGUAGUUUGACUGGGGCGGUCUCCUCCUAAAGAGUAACGGAGGAGCACGAAGGUUGGCUAAUCCUGGUCGGACAUCAGGAGGUUAGUGCAAUGGCAUAAGCCAGCUUGACUGCGAGCGUGACGGCGCGAGCAGGUGCGAAAGCAGGUCAUAGUGAUCCGGUGGUUCUGAAUGGAAGGGCCAUCGCUCAACGGAUAAAAGGUACUCCGGGGAUAACAGGCUGAUACCGCCCAAGAGUUCAUAUCGACGGCGGUGUUUGGCACCUCGAUGUCGGCUCAUCACAUCCUGGGGCUGAAGUAGGUCCCAAGGGUAUGGCUGUUCGCCAUUUAAAGUGGUACGCGAGCUGGGUUUAGAACGUCGUGAGACAGUUCGGUCCCUAUCUGCCGUGGGCGCUGGAGAACUGAGGGGGGCUGCUCCUAGUACGAGAGGACCGGAGUGGACGCAUCACUGGUGUUCGGGUUGUCAUGCCAAUGGCACUGCCCGGUAGCUAAAUGCGGAAGAGAUAAGUGCUGAAAGCAUCUAAGCACGAAACUUGCCCCGAGAUGAGUUCUCCCUGACCCUUUAAGGGUCCUGAAGGAACGUUGAAGACGACGACGUUGAUAGGCCGGGUGUGUAAGCGCAGCGAUGCGUUGAGCUAACCGGUACUAAUGAACCGUGAGGCUUAACCUUACAACGCCGAAGGUGUUU
rnacentral:rRNA from 1 species